ACAAAUAGGAUAAUUCAUUUUACAAGACCUAUCUAAACUUAGUAUUUACGGACUGUAGGAUCGUUGGCACUAAUCAUUAAUAAUUUUAAAAGCUUGAGUUGGUAAAAAGAUGUAAUUAAUUUAACUUAAAGCGUACAAAUACUGCGCUCAUGAAUCUCGAUUGUGACUUGACCCAAUUCAGUCUUCUGCCAUUUCGAGAAUAACUCGAUUCCACCUUACCUUCCGCCAUCGGACAGAAUGGUGGCCUCUUUAAGCCAACAGAGGUGGCUUUCUAAAUUUUAAAACCUUACUCAAGACUAUGUGAACUUCGUUUCAAUUGGAAAGGAUAAUCUUUUGUUUUUUUGUUACGCGAACAUUAGUAGUAAAGGAACAUGCCUAAAACUGAUUCUUGGAUCUUUCAUUUAUAAUUGGGAAAACUUCAAAUACCAUCCAUGUGGUUUCGCACUUUUUUACUUAAGUAUCCUGUGGUUUAAAGUGUAUCAAUUUAGUACCAUGUGGUUUCGCACUUUCUCACUUUAGUACCCUGUGAUUUAAAGUACAUCAAUUUAGUACCCUGUGGUUUUAUUUUUCUCUUUUCGUCGGCUCCUCUGUUAAUAUUUCGUUAAAUUACAUACAAAAAACUUCAGAUACCCUACCUAGAUUUAUCAAAAAUUUACUUUAGUAUCCUUUAGUUUUAACUUUGCACUUAUUUUUUUUCCUCUGUUAAUAUUUCGUUAAAUUAUAUACAAAAAACUUCAAAUACUCUAUCUAGGUUUAUCGAAUAUUUAUUUCAGUACCCUUUAAUUUUAACUUUGUUACUGAUUUAACGAAACAAAUUAGUGAAAUGAGUAAUAAAAAGAGAAAAAUAAAACCACAGAGUACUAAUUUGAUACACUUUAAACAACAGAGUACUAAAGUGAAAAAGUGCGAACACCACAAGAGGUAACUUGAUACACUUUAAACCACAGGGUACUAAAGUGAGAAAGUGUGAAACGACAGGGGGAUAUAUAUUUGAAGUUUACCCUUUUUAAUUUAACUUGUAUUUGUACAUGUAAGCAAUUUAUCUAACUUGAAACUGCAAAUGUAGAGUAGAAUCUACAUUUUUCCAAGACAAUUUAUCAUACAACCAAAGCUAUAUAGGAGUACUGCAGUCCAGUUUGAAGAAACAUUUUGGCCAAUAAAUGCUGAUUUUUUUUUUACUAAAUAACUAUUUUUUAAAAAAUAAUACUUCUGAAAGCUUUACUUUUUAUCUUAAUUUUAAUUUAACUGAAAGUUAUUUUUAAUCUAAAAAUUAUUUACGGACAAAUAAACAAAUCUAUAUAUAUAUAGAGUCCGGAUGCUUUCAAAAGCACAAACUAGUUGGUACUGGUAAGUUUUCCACGGUUAGAUUUAUCUCUUUAAGCAAUUCCCAUCUCUUAAAUUAUGUUAUUCCACUAUAACCACCAACUCAACGCUAGGGAACUACUAUUAUCCUAAUACUGCAAAUCUUUAUCCAAAUGCCGAAAAUCUACGAGCACCAAUAAUUUAAUUUAGUGCUUUUAAAAACAUAAAAGCUCAAUUCUAUAUAUUUUAGAGCUUUUUUUACAUUUAAUCCCCUCAAAAAAAGUAUUUUUAUAAAUAGUCUCAUUAAUUUUAUAAUUGCAAUUUAAGACCUUAUCCCCGCCACGCAAGCAUCACGUCAGCACCAUGCGAGCAGGGGUUAUGGAUGUGGAAUAAGUUGAACACAGUGAAUGAUUGUUCAACGUGUCUAGACACGGUGAAUGAUUCACCUUAUCUAGAUACAAUGAAUGGAUUACCGUGUUCAACUUAUUCCAUAUCCUCCACCCAUGCUCGCGUGGUGCUGAUGUGUCGCUUGUGUGGCGGGAAUAGAAUCUUAAAUUGCAAUUAUAAAAUUAGUAGAAUUAUUUGUGAAAAAAAUUUGUUGAGGGGAACAAAUGGGAAAAAAAA
rnacentral:lncRNA from 1 species